GUUGAGGAUUUUCAUGUGUUACAUUAGAAGCAUCUUGCUAAUGUCACCCCUAUGACAUUUCUACAUGGGAAGAGAAGACGGAUGGAGCCCAUGACACAUGGAAGCGAGCAGGAGUUGGCAACAUGUAUUGAUCUGAAAAUGCCAUCGUGCCUGUUGGAAAUGAUAUUUGCUGAGGUGGUCCUUCAUGAUGGAGACAGAGCUUUGAUGACCCUGUCCCUGGUGUGUUCCUGCUUCAGAGCAGUGGUGGGAAUGGAAUAAUUCCGGAGAAAAGUGCAUUUUCUGUGGCUUGACAGUGUUGCAGACUGGACCAGGUUCUCAGCAGUAUACAGGGCAGACUUUUACAGAAUGCACACUCUGGAUACAUGUAGGGAGUGCAGGAUGACUUUCAAAAACUGCAUACCAGGUAUGAAAAUUGUGCAUGGAAAUGUAAUGAGUACUUCUUUUAGUUAUUGCUACCUAAAGAUAGCAGUGAAAACAUGUUUGUUUUUAAAAAUGCUGAUAGAAGUUGUUCUCCUCCUUGAUGCUCCGAGCAAAUAGGAGGUCAUGGCCUCAUUAUGAGGCGAGGUUAGUCUUUGAAAACAAAAUGCUCGCAGCAAUAAACUUUUGUGUCCCUCUGCAGCAGCUAAACUCUCCAUGGUGACCUGGCAAAUCUCCUCCUGUCAGUGCAGGCCUCCUCUCGACAAUGACUGUGCUGCUAGCUUAGCUCCUGCUAGCUAAGCUCCUGCUAGCUAGCUUAGCCGAACUUGCUUCGUGUCCAAUAAAACACAAAUACUUCGACUGCGAUGGAGAGUCCAACUCUCACACUCUCACAGCACGUUGUCCGACAACAGUUCAUAGUCCGGUUCUGAUAAAACACGACAGUGACGACACACACAGUCCCCUGUUAGCUGUUCCAGCCAUUAAGCAGCUUCUUCCUCCUCACUUUCCGAUCUACCAAGUGUAAAAAUUCUAAAAGGUCAUGAACUCUCACGUAAUAAGAAUUCAUUUUAAACCUAUUUUAAAACAUUCAGAACCCAUGAUAUUAUAUUGUACAUUUUACUAUCUUAUUUAUCUCAAAAUAUUUCAUGCCAGCCUUCUUAACAACUGGCACCUUAUCUUUAACUUGAUCCCAAGAGAGAAUUUUUUUUUUUAUAAUUUUGUGUAUGUUUAUUUUUUUUUUUUUUA